GACGAACGCUGGCGGCGUGCUUAACACAUGCAAUUCGAACGGAAAGGCCCUGCUUUUGUGGGGUGCUCGAGUGGCGAACGGGUGAGUAACACGUGAGUAACCUGCCCUUGACUUUGGGAUAACUUCAGGAAACUGGGGCUAAUACCGGAUAGGAGCUCCUGCUGCAUGGUGGGGGUUGGAAAGUUUCGGCGGUUGGGGAUGGACUCGCGGCUUAUCAGCUUGUUGGUGGGGUAGUGGCUUACCAAGGCUUUGACGGGUAGCCGGCCUGAGAGGGUGACCGGCCACAUUGGGACUGAGAUACGGCCCAGACUCCUACGGGAGGCAGCAGUGGGGAAUAUUGCACAAUGGGCGGAAGCCUGAUGCAGCAACGCCGCGUGCGGGAUGACGGCCUUCGGGUUGUAAACCGCUUUCGCCUGUGACGAAGCGUGAGUGACGGUAAUGGGUAAAGAAGCACCGGCUAACUACGUGCCAGCAGCCGCGGUGAUACGUAGGGUGCGAGCGUUGUCCGGAUUUAUUGGGCGUAAAGGGCUCGAAGGUGGUUGAUCGCGUCGGAAGUGUAAUCUUGGGGCUUAACCCUGAGCGUGCUUUCGAUACGGGUUGACUUGAGGAAGGUAGGGGAGAAUGGAAUUCCUGGUGGAGCGGUGGAAUGCGCAGAUAUCAGGAGGAACACCAGUGGCGAAGGCGGUUCUCUGGGCCUUUCCUGACGCUGAGGAGCGAAAGCGUGGGGAGCGAACAGGCUUAGAUACCCUGGUAGUCCACGCUGUAAACGGUGGGUACUAGGUGUGGGGUCCAUUCCACGGGUUCCGUGCCGUAGCUAACGCUUUAAGUACCCCGCCUGGGGAGUACGGCCGCAAGGCUAAAACUCAAAGGAAUUGACGGGGCCCCGCACAAGCGGCGGAGCAUGCGGAUUAAUUCGAUGCAACGCGUAGAACCUUACCUGGGUUUGACAUGGAUCGGGAGUGCUCAGAGAUGGGUGUGCCUCUUUUGGGGUCGGUUCACAGGUGGUGCAUGGCUGUCGUCAGCUCGUGUCGUGAGAUGUUGGGUUAAGUCCCGCAACGAGCGCAACCCUUGUUCACUGUUGCCAGCACGUUAUGGUGGGGACUCAGUGGAGACCGCCGGGGUCAACUCGGAGGAAGGUGGGGAUGACGUCAAGUCAUCAUGCCCCUUAUGUCCAGGGCUUCACGCAUGCUACAAUGGCUGGUACAGAGAGUGGCGAGCCUGUGAGGGUGAGCGAAUCUCGGAAAGUCGGUCUCAGUUCGGAUUGGGGUCUGCAACUCGACCUCAUGAAGUCGGAGUCGCUAGUAAUCGCAGAUCAGCAACGCUGCGGUGAAUACGUUCCCGGGGCU
rnacentral:rRNA from 1 species